rnacentral:rRNA from 1 species
UACGAAGGGUGCAAGCGUUAAUCGGAAUUACUGGGCGUAAAGGGUGCGUAGGCGGUUCGUUAAGUCUGUCGUGAAAUCCCCGGGCUCAACCUGGGAAUGGCGAUGGAUACUGGCGAGCUAGAGUGUGUCAGAGGAUGGUGGAAUUCCCGGUGUAGCGGUGAAAUGCGUAGAGAUCGGGAGGAACAUCAGUGGCGAAGGCGGCCAUCUGGGACAACACUGACGCUGAAGCACGAAGGCAUGGGGAGCGAACGGG